rnacentral:rRNA from 1 species
UUACCAGGUCUUGACAUCCCGAUGCUAUUCUAGAGAUAGAAAGUUACUUCGGUACAUCGGUGACAGGUGGUGCAUGGUUGUCGUCAGCUCGUGUCGUGAGAUGUUGGGUUAAGUCCCGCAACGAGCGCAACCCCUAUUGUUAGUUGCCAUCAUUCAGUUGGGCACUCUAGCGAGACUGCCGGUAAUAAACCGGAGGAAGGUGGGGAUGACGUCAAAUCAUCAUGCCCCUUAUGACCUGGGCUACACACGUGCUACAAUGGUUGGUACAACGAGUUGCGAGUCGGUGACGGCGAGCUAAUCUCUUAAAGCCAAUCUCAGUUCGGAUUGUAGGCUGCAACUCGCCUACAUGAAGUCGGAAUCGCUAGUAAUCGCGGAUCAGCACGCCGCGGUGAAUACGUUCCCGGGCCUU